rnacentral:rRNA from 1 species
GUCGCACGAGAAAGGGGCAACCUGAGUAAAGUGGCGUACGGGUGAGUAACACGUGGGUGAUCUACCUCUUAGUGGGGAAUAACCCUGGGAAACCGGGGCUAAUACCGCAUAAGCUCGAGAGAGGAAAGCAGCGAUGCGCUGAGAGAGGAGCCCGCGGCCGAUUAGCUAGUUGGCAGGGUAAGAGCCUACCAAGGCAGAGAUCGGUAGCCGGCCUGAGAGGGCACACGGCCACACUGGCACUGAAACACGGGCCAGACUCCUACGGGAGGCAGCAGUGGGGAAUCUUGCACAAUGGGGGAAACCCUGAUGCAGCGACGCCGCGUGAGCGAUGAAGCCCUUCGGGGUGUAAAGCUCUUUCGGCAGGGAAGAUGAUGACGGUACCUGCAGAAGCAGCUGCGGCUAACUACGUGCCAGCAGCCGCGGUAAUACGUAGGCAGCGAGCGUUGUUCGGAGUUACUGGGCGUAAAGGGUGUGUAGGCGGUUCUUUAAGUUUGGUGUGAAAUCUCCCGGCUCAACCGGGAGGGUGCGCCGAAUACUGAGGGACUCGAGUGCGGGAGAGGAAAGUGGAAUUCCUGGUGUAGCGGUGAAAUGCGUAGAUAUCAGGAGGAACACCGGUGGUGUAGACGGCUUUCUGGACCGUAACUGACGCUGAGACACGAAAGCGUGGGUAGCAAACAGGAUUAGAUACCCUGGUAGUCCACGCCCUAAACGAUGCAUAUUUGGUGUGGGUCAUUCAGUUGAUCCGUGCCGGAGCU